GAUGAACGCUAGCUACAGGCUUAACACAUGCAAGUCGAGGGACCGGCGCACGGGUGAGUAACACGUAUCCAACCUGUCCUUUACUCGGGGAUAGCCUUUCGAAAGAAAGAUUAAUACCCGAUAUAAAGGAUGGGGCUGCGUUCCACUAGGUUGUUGGUGAGGUAACGGCCAACCAAGCCUUCGAUGGAUCGGGGUUCUGAGAGGAAGGUCCCCCACAGUGGAACUGAGACACGGUCCAAACUCCUAGGGGAGGCAGCAGGGAGGAAUAUUGGUCAAUGGGCGGUAGCCUGACCCAGCCAAGUAGAGUGAAGGAUGAAGGGUUAGUGGUCGUAAACUUCUUUUAUAGAAGAAGAUGUAUUAGAUGAAGAAGGAGCGGCUAACUCCGUGCCAGCAGCCGCGGUAAUUC
rnacentral:rRNA from 1 species